rnacentral:rRNA from 1 species
UACGUAGGGUGCGAGCGUUAAUCGGAAUUACUGGGCGUAAAGCGUGCGCAGGCGGUCUGUUAAGACCGAUGUGAAAUCCCCGGGCUUAACCUGGGAACUGCAUUGGUGACUGGCAGGCUUUGAGUGUGGCAGAGGGAGGUAGAAUUCCACGUGUAGCAGUGAAAUGCGUAGAGAUGUGGAGGAACACCGAUGGCGAAGGCAGCCCCCUGGGCUGAGAUUGACGCUCAGGCACGAAAGCGUGGGGAGCAAACAGG